rnacentral:lncRNA from 1 species
UCAUCAUCACAUGGUGUUCUCCCCAGGCAGCUCACUAUGAGGCUAUCACAAAUCAAUGGAAGCACAUUUGGUGAAGAGUACAGGCCCAUCAGAGGAUACCACUGAAUCCAUGCUCCACAGCAGUUCCCAGCAAGCUGCACUCUUCGAAGGCGGGAUGCUGAAACCUCUGCCCCCACCCCCUACAUUAGCUUUAUAUCCAAAUGUGACUCGGAGGCUGGUGAGCUCAAGGUGAUCAAUGACAGCUCCAAUCAAAGCCACCCAGUAGACAGUGCACUCACCACUCCUUGAUAUAAAAGGUGUUUUAUUUCUCAUCCUUUUAUUUUUGUCACUGAAAG